UACGUAGGGUGCGAGCGUUAAUCGGAAUUACUGGGCGUAAAGUGUGCGCAGGCGGCCGCGCAAGUCGAGUGUGAAAGCCCCGGGCUUAACUUGGGAAUUGCGCUCGAAACUACGUGGCUGGAGUGUGGCAGAGGAAGGUGGAAUUCCUGGUGUAGCGGUGAAAUGCGCAGAUAUCAGGAGGAACACCGGUGGCGAAGGCGGAUCUCUGGGCCUUGCCUGACGCUGAGGCGCGAAAGCUAGGGGAGCGAACAGG
rnacentral:rRNA from 1 species